UCGAACCCGAAUGGCAGCAAGCGAUGAAAAUAUCCUGCGUUUCAGCACCGCCUACCGUUAGGAGAUUGUUACGAAACUCUGUCAAUCAGAGUUCGCUUACGAUUUCCGGCAGCAUGUAAUGGGGAAGCCCAAUCACCCAUUAAUGAGGCCCAUCGUUGAGUUACGGAUGUGAAUGAGAUUCCCGGUGCUGUUGAGUAUGAGAGGGGGACGAAAUUGGAUAAAGUAAUAAUGACGAGAAACCGUAUCUAUGUGUAUUAAUGGUAUUCAUAUACUGGAAAUUGGAGGAACAUUGAACCAUUUCCGAGCACGCAUCUAAAAAUAACGCUCACCACUAGCAAAGGAAACAAAACAGAGGUUGAGAUGAUUAUGUCACAGCGAUACGCACCAAGCUUUUCAAUAGACCGGCAGCUGUUGCGCCUCAAAGAAAGACAAAGCCGCUAUCUACAACAACAUGAUAACCGGCAAUGAGUGAUGAAUUAAGCUAUUUUCGUAAACUGAAGAGCCGAAAACGCACGCUCGAAUGUAUGCCGCCGUUUAUUGGCCAAGCGGAAAACUCGAAUUUUAUGGUUUGUCUUUCCUAUGUCCCUCACCGCCAUCACCCAAACAUAAACGUCUCUGCCUGGAGUAUGCUCCAUUCAUGCUACGCACGUGGCACUCAAACAGGACGAUUAGCAAGUCCUUCCACAAAACACCGCUGAAGUGCUUUUGGAGAGUUGUUUGGCAGCACAGUCCUCCAUCACCAAGUCAGAGAAUAAUGUGAGCGUUUCACUUUCACUGAAGGUCCCCGUCUGAAGCCACCACAUUCGCAGAGCUAUUUCUGGGGUUGGUUAUUUUUAGAAGAAAGCGACCCUUCUUUUCGCCCCUCCAAACCUGAACCAACAAACGACAUCAUGGAUGAGGUGAUUCUCCUGCAUCCAACCUGCUGCUCGAUAAUACAUAUAUUUUUUGCGUCAUCAGACUUUCGCUAUAGUUGGGUAUAGCUUUGUAAAUGAAAAAUUGGACAUCCUAAUUGUGUACGCA